AUUGAACGCUGGCGGCAGGCCUAACACAUGCAAGUCGAGCGGAUGAAGGGAGCUUGCUCCUGGAUUCAGCGGCGGACGGGUGAGUAAUGCCUAGGAAUCUGCCUGGUAGUGGGGGAUAACGUCCGGAAACGGGCGCUAAUACCGCAUACGUCCUGAGGGAGAAAGUGGGGGUUCUUCGGACCUCACGCUAUCAGAUGAGCCUAGGUCGGAUUAGCUAGUUGGUGGGGUAAAGGCCUACCAAGGCGACGAUCCGUAACUGGUCUGAGAGGAUGAUCAGUCACACUGGAACUGAGACACGGUCCAGACUCCUACGGGAGGCAGCAGUGGGGAAUAUUGUACAAUGGGCGAAAGCCUGAUCCAGCCAUGCCGCGUGUGUGAAGAAGGUCUUCGGAUUGUAAAGCACUUUAAGUUGGGAGGAAGGGCAGUAAGUUAAUACCUUGCUGUUUUGACGUUACCAACAGAAUAAGCACCGGCUAACUUCGUG
rnacentral:rRNA from 1 species